CCUACGGGGGGCAGCAGUAGGGAAUCUUCCACAAUGGACGCAAGUCUGAUGGAGCAACGCCGCGUGAGUGAAGAAGGCUUUCGGGUCGUAAAACUCUGUUGUUGGAGAAGAAUGGUCGGCAGAGUAACUGUUGUCGGCGUGACGGUAUCCAACCAGAAAGCCACGGCUAACUACGUGCCAGCAGCCGCGGUAAUACGUAGGUGGCAAGCGUUAUCCGGAUUUAUUGGGCGUAAAGCGAGCGCAGGCGGUUUUUUAAGUCU
rnacentral:rRNA from 1 species